GUGACCCCAGGAUGGGCGAGGCCACCCGCUG
rnacentral:rRNA from 2 species